rnacentral:tRNA from 1 species
GCGGAUGUAGCUCAGUUGGUAGAGCGUCAGCCUUCCAAGCUGAAUGUCGCGAGUUCGAAUCUCGUCGUCCGCU